GCCCAGUUUCAGACACAGAAUUUCAAAAGCUUUAUCAUCCUCAAUCUCAAGUAGUUGAAACUGAUAAAGAUUAGCAGAACAAGCCAUACAGCAAAAUAUCAUACCAAAAUAUCGCACAAAAAGCAGGCAAAUUCACAAAGCCCCACCUAUUUUAAGAGACAUUCAAAAUGCUACACUACAGCUAAUUAACUUCAUUUUGAAGACGCUGACCUCUCCCACCUGCAAAACGACUACCUCCUCGAUGAUGAUAUGGUUUCCUACCACGGCUUGAAGAUGCACCCAAAUUAAAUUGCUGAGGUGAUUGAAC
rnacentral:misc_RNA from 1 species